rnacentral:rRNA from 1 species
UGAGGGAUAUUGGUCAAUGGGCGCAAGCCUGAACCAGCGACGCCGCGUGGGUGAAGAAGGUUUUCGGAUCGUAAAGCCCUUUUCCCACUGAAGAGGAAGGACGGUAGGUGGGGAAGAAGUCUCGGCUAACUACGUGCCAGCAGCCGCGGUAAAACGUAGGAGACAAGCGUUAUCCGGAGUUACUGGGCGUAAAGGGCGUGCAGGUGGCGUCUUAAGUCUGUUGUGAAAGCGCCUGGCUUAACCGGGCGAGGCCAAUGGAUACUGGCGAGCUAGAGUACGGUAGAGGAUGGUGGAAUUCCCGGUGUAGCGGUGAAAUGCGUAGAGAUCGGGAGGAACACCCGUGGCGAAGGCGGCCAUCUGGACCAGUACUGACGCUGAGGCACGAAAGCGUGGGGAGCAAACA